rnacentral:rRNA from 1 species
CCGGCCGCCAGCGGCGCUCGCAAAGUUCGGAUCCGCAAGGACCGGGCCAGCGGGACGUCCGCGUGGCAGGGUGCACUUUCUCCGCGGUCGAGUGCUACGACCGGUUUCGCGGCGGUCAGAAGCCCGGCGGAAAGGUAGCGCCGCCCCUCGGGGUGUCGUGUUAUAGGCCGCCGCGGUGGACUCGCCGCGAGACCGAGGACGCUUGCCGCGCCGAGCGGUCCCGGGCCGUCUUGGGAGGUUCGACCUCGGCUGCACUGCUCCGCAGAGCACCGUAACCGCCGCCCUAGCACGGGUCCGGAGACUGCCGGCGCCUCGGGUCAGUAGCG